UCCGGCUUAUCACCGGCAGUUUCUUUAGAGUGCCCAACUGAAUGAUGGCAACUAAAGACGAGGGUUGCGCUCGUUGCGGGACUUAACCCAACAUCUCACGACACGAGCUGACGACAGCCAUGCAGCACCUGUGUGUAGGUCCCGUAAGGGAAGGAAUCCAUCUCUGGAAGCCGUCCUACCAUGUCAAACGCUGGUAAGGUUCUGCGCGUUGCUUCGAAUUAAACCACAUGCUCCACCAGAACCUUACCUGGGUUAAAUCCACAGAACCUU
rnacentral:misc_RNA from 1 species